UACGUAGGGGGCGAGCGUUGUCCGGAUUUAUUGGGCGUAAAGAGCUCGUAGGCGGUUUGGUAAGUCGGGUGUGAAAUCUCCACGCUCAACGUGGAGGGGCCACUCGAUACUGCCAUGACUCGAGUCCGGUAGAGGAGUGUGGAAUUCCCGGUGUAGCGGUGAAAUGCGCAGAUAUCGGGAGGAACACCCGUAGCGAAGGCGGCGCACUGGACCACAACUGACGCUGAGGCGCGAAAGCUAGGGGAGCAAACAGG
rnacentral:rRNA from 1 species